UACGUAGGUGGCAAGCGUUGUCCGGAUUUACUGGGCGUAAAGAGCGCGCAGGCGGUCGUUCAAGUCGAGUGUGAAAGCCCCCGGCUCAACUGGGGAGGGUCACUCGAUACUGAUCGACUCGAAGGCAGAAGAGGGAAGCGGAAUUCCUGGUGUAGCGGUGAAAUGCGCAGAUAUCAGGAAGAACACCGAUGGCGAAGGCAGUUCUCUGGGACGGUACUGACGCUGAGACGCGAAAGCGUGGGGAGCGAACAGG
rnacentral:rRNA from 1 species